rnacentral:lncRNA from 1 species
CUGCUGCCACCUUACACAGAACGGGUUGCCCACCUCUAUGCUGUCCAUGGCUGUGGUCAUGGACAUCUGAGGUGGGAUCGUUUGAGAAACACCAAGGGAAAAUGCUUUCCCUGAGGGAGAGGCCGUGAGGUGCUGCUGUGCUCUUGCUCCAUCCCACAUCUUUGUCUGUCCCGGCAUGUGCGCACCGAUGACUCCUGUGAGCUGAAUGAUGAUGAACUGACAUCGUCAUGGCAACACGUGUGGAUUUCCUGGUUGCAUAGCAACGGGAUGCAGGCUGAUGUAAGAUGUGGGCUUGUUUCCUCCACUGGCUGUGCUCCUUUGAUAUGUCGGGUGUGUUUCUUUAUCUUGGAGCAGAAGGAGGUCUUCACGGUGGUGGUUGUGGCUUCAGCCUCUGGUGAUGGCCAAGUGGUCAGGAUCUACAGACCUCAGAGCACGUCUGCUAAACACAUCUCAGUCCACUGCAAACAGGACCCAGGUCCAGGACAUGCAGAUGAAGAAAGCUGUAAGGAGAUUGAUCCGAAGGCUUUCAUCAUCCCCAAGACAUCACUUCUCAAACACACAGGGUGUUAUUUAGAGACAGCAGUCUCCAAACAGCUCCUCCAUGUGAUCGAUGGCAGUGAAAAGGGAUUAUCAUCACAGAGAAAUUUCCUCCCGUGA